GCUCUGGGGUUGCCUGGCUGGGGAUAGGUUAAAACCGGCUUCUCCAUCAAAAGCGGUCAUUUUUAUACGCGGCGAAAGGCUGUCGAUGAGAAGAAAGGGGGAAGAGGGGGGGGAAUAAAAAAAUAAUUAAAAAAAAAUCGGUGCUUUGGUGAUUUGUUGUUUUGUCCUGAACUCAACCCCCUUGCAGCGAGCUCAGCGCUUUUUUGGGGCCUUCACGCCCCCCCCCGAUCGCUGGAGGCUCACAAAACGCCCCGUCUGCUCGGGAUUGUUGUUCCUCGCAAAAGCUUUGCUGGAAGGAGAGAAAAGGAAAACGACGCUCAGGGCUAUACCCACCGCCACCGGGGCCGGCUUUGGGGUGAGAUGACGGCUGAGCUCGUACACCCGCGUUUUGCGUGUGAAAUGCUGCGUUUGAGCUUAUCCUUUUUCCUGGAGAGCCUUAUUUUUAGGAGCAGGACCGUGCAGAACCGAAGGCACGUUGUGCAGCGACGGCCUGAGAGGGUUGGUUCGGGGUUUUUUUGGAUGCUGAAUGAAGCAGCUCUUUUGUAAGCAGCAGUUGUUUACGUUCUUCCUAACAAAAGUUGGGACUUGCUCCGAUGCGAAUAGUCUUGUCACUAACGCGUAGGGUCAGCCAGCAUGCCUGGAUUAGCUUCUUGGUAGCGUCUGGGCCAACUCGAGCAUGUUUGUCACUUUUAGGAACAGCCUCCCAAAAGUCAACACUGUGCCACCAGACCAGGGAGGAGAUUUUUCAUCCUAUCCCGCCUUCUUAUGGAGAGAGGUCACAUAUCACGUGUUGCUCUCUGCAAGCCUCAGACCAAGGGCUGGACUCAGUUUUCCCUUUUUCAAAGCACUUCCCGUUAUCUUUGGACUUGCCGAUGCCGGUCGGGGCCCCUGCUGCGUGCGGGGGGUGAUCAGCACCUCGGAGCGGACCCUAUUUCGGGCGUCCAGCCAGCACUUGCGCGUUUGUGUUGUCUAGUAAUUUAAUGUUGUCUGUUCAUUUGAGGGUUGGUGAAGAACGUGCUAUGCCGUUUCGGAUUUCUGUUUCUUUUUUUCCUCCGAGGGGCAGCGCUUGGCCUUGGUCUGAAGCACGUGUAUCCUUCAGCAAAAGCCACUUGGUAGCGCAAGCAGACGUGACCCUUCCUGCUACCGCGUGCAAGGGUGCAGCAGCUCCCGCCACGGACCCGGGCAGCGCAUGGGCAGGAGGGGCCCCAGGAGCUCAGCCAGGGAGUACCAAGAGGUACAUCCUUGCAGGGAUGCCAGUGAGUCGGCUCCCAGCCCCGAAGGCCGAAUCGCCGCAGGUCAGGGGCCCCAAAGCGCUUGUGGCCGGGGUGGCGGGCUCCACGUGUCCUGCCCAGCUCCUGCCAGUGCCCCAGACACCAGCGACAGGACCGCACGGGCAGCUCCACUGCCCCCGAGCCGGUGCAGGUGACCCUGCCUGGAUGCGAAUGAACAGUUCUGGGGUUUUUGUACCUAUCCCAGGGGGCUUCAUAAAGAUUUUUCUCCUCCUCUCCCAUGUGCUCUGAAGAGUAUUGUGACAAUGACAUAAAAUUGAUUAAAAAUUGACAGGAAGUGUGUUUUAAUCAUUAAAAAAUAAACCGAUGCAAUAGCGGAGCA
ensembl:lncRNA